rnacentral:lncRNA from 1 species
GCUUUAUAUAAUUACUAAUAUUUUAAGGUUAAAAAUGUCUUUUUCAAUUCUUUGUAUUUACAAUAAGGAGAUGUGGUAUGAAAGCCGAUAAAACAGCUACAUUAUAUUGAAUCUAUCAGAAUACAGAUGACGUAGAUGCAGCUAAUUUUAGGGCACCGUAUAACCUUAAUGACCUUUAUGAGUUUGACUGUCCCUUUGGUAUCUUUCGUCCCUCUUUUAAACAAUGAGUCAAAUUCAUUAUAUGCAGUCAGCUAGUAAAGGUCGAGACAUCAUCGUAUUUAAAGAUGGAACAAUUCAAAUUAGAAAACUACCGACCUGUUUUAUGAUAACACAAUAAACAAAAACCUCAUAAUAUGAUUGACAGCAACCGACGAAAACCAUUGAAUUACAUGCUUCUGACUUGGAAAAGGCAUAUCAAUAAUGUGACGGGAUUAAUAAUAAAAUUGGGAAUGGAAAUGGGAAAUGUGUCAAAGAGACAACAACCCGACAAUAGAAAAAACAACAGCAGAAGGUCACCAAACAUGAUAUUGUUUUAGGACACUCAAGUCUAAACAUAAUCACAGAACAGUGGUGUAAACGCACAAGAUAGGUUCAAAGUUUAACUGUAAAAUCUCAUUAUAUUUUCGUUUCAGUUUCAAAUAAAGAGGGGGGACAAGGGGGUCCCCAUAACAGCAAAACAGUGAAUUGAUUUGGUGAAAACAGAUAACAAGGAAUUGAAAAGGGAUAAUAACAGAUAACAGUAAAUGAAAUAUGAAAAUAAAUCUGUCAAGGACCAAUCCAGUAGAUGACUCGUAGAUCUUAGUAUAUAACUUGUGAUAUGGACCUAGAAAAUUGUAAUUUGUGUAAACAAGACGUUUCGGCCGUUGAGGCAGUUCUUUUCCCGUAACUUGUACAAUAAGUUAUAGUAUGGAUGUUGAAUUUUUCUGAACGAAAUAACUAGUUUCUGACAUAGGGAUAUUUUUAAUCUAGGGCAUUUGAGGAAUCAAUUUUUAAUGAUUUAGGUUGAAAAUAGUGCAGCCAGUGAC